ensembl:snRNA U6 U6 spliceosomal RNA
GUGCUUGCUCUGGCAGCACGUAUGCUAAAAUUGGAAUGAUACAGAGCAGAUUAGCAUGGUCCCUGCUCAAGGAUGGCACACAAAUUCGUAAAGUAUGCCAUAUUUAA